rfam:Helianthus annuus unplaced genomic scaffold HanXRQChr00c0940, whole genome shotgun sequence.
UACCUGGUUAUCCUGCAGUAGUCCAUAUGCUUGUCUCAAAGAUAAGCCCAUGCAUAAGUAUGAACACAAAUUCAGACUGUGAAACCCUGCAAUGGCUCAUUAAAAUCAGUUAAUAGUUUGUUGAUGUACUGCUACUCGGAAACCGUAGUAAUCUAGAGCUAAUACGCAACAAACCUGACUCUGAAGGGAGCAUUUAUUAAUAAAAGGUCGACGCGGGCUUUGCCCGUUGCUUGCGAUGAUUCAUGAUAACUCGACGGAUCGCACGGCCCUUGUGCCGGCGACGCAUCAUCAAAUUUCGCCCUAUCAACUUUCGAUGAGAUAGUGCCUACUAUGGUGGGACGGGUGACGGAGAAUUAGGGUCGAUCCGGAAGGACCUGAGAAACGGCUACCACAUCCAAGGAAGGCACAGCGCGCAAAUUACCCAAUCCUGACACGGAGUAUGACAAAAAUAACAAUACCGGCUCAUACGAGUCUGGAAUUGAAAGAACAAUCUAAAUCCCUAACGAGAUCCAUGGAGGCAAUCUGUCCAGCACCGCGUAAUCCAGCUCCAAUAGCGUAAUUAAGUUGUGCAGUUAAAAAGCUCGUAGUUACUGGGUUGGUCGCCGUCCGCCACAGUGCAACCGUUACCGCCCUUCUGUCGCGAUGCGCUCCUACCCUUAACUGGGCGGUUCGCCCCGCGUUUACUUAAAAAUUAGAGUGCCAAAGCAAGCCUACCUCGUAUACAUUAGCAUGGGAUAACAUCAUAGAUCGUCCUAUACGUGGCCUCGGAUCGAGUAAUGAUAACAGGACAUCGGGGGCAUUCGUAUUCAUAGUCAGAGUGAAAUCCUUGAUAUAAAGACGAACAACUGCGAAAGCAUUGCCAAGGAUUUCAUUAAUCAAGAAACGAAAUUGGGGCUCGAAGACGAUCAGAUACCGUCCAGUCCAACCAAAACGAUCCGACCAGGAUCACGGAGUUGCUUUAGGACUCCGCGCACCUAUGAGAAACAAAGUUUGGUCCGGGGAUAUGGUCGCAAGGCUGAAACUAAAGGAAUGACGGAAGGCACCACCAGAUGAGCCUGCCGCUUAAUUGACUCAACACGGAAACUACCAGUCCAGACAAUAGUAAGAUUGACAGACUGAGAGCUCUUUCUGAUCUAUGGUGGUGGCAAUGCCGUCUAUGGUGAGCGAUUGUCUGUUAAUCCGUAACGAACGAGACCUCAGCCUGCUAACUAGCUAUGUGGAGUAUCCCUCCAUGGCCAGCUUCUUAGAGGACUAUGCCUUUAGGCCACGGAAGUUGAGGCAAUAACAGCCGUGAUGCCCUUAGAUUCUGGCCGCACGCGCGCUACACUGAUGUAUCAACGAGUAUAUAGCCUGCCACAGCCCGGAAAUCUUUGAAAUUUCAUCUGAUGGGAUAGAUCAUGCAAUGUGUCUAAACGAGAAUCCUAUAAGCGCGAGUCAUCAAGCUCGCGUUGACUACGUCCCUCCCUUUGUACACACCGCCCUCCCCCUACCGAUGAAGUCCGUGAAGGUUAGAUCGGCGACUGGCGUCGCUGCCCCGACGUCGCGAGAAUUCCACUGAACCUAUCAUUAGAGGAAGAAAUCUAACAAGGUUCCCGUAGUAACCUGCGAAGACAUUG